rnacentral:misc_RNA from 1 species
UAGGCCUUUUGCUGAUAGAUCAUCUGCAGGAUGGUGAUUUCGGGCAGGUCCGCGAAGCGGUCGCGCAGUGCGCGCUCGUGAUCGGUCAGCUUGUCUUCCGGAACCUUCAGCAGCGCCUUGUAGAAGUCGGUCUUCAGGUUGUUCAUACGCUUGUAGACGUCGGUGUUGUAGCGCGUACGUGACGAAUACAUGAUGUCCUUAUGCCGGGCCAUC